rnacentral:rRNA from 1 species
GGCGGAAGGUCCUACGGAAGCGGGUCUUCGGAUGCUGCCAGUGUCGAACGGUAGAGUAUACAUCAAAACGUGCCUAGUAGUGGGGGAUAACUACUCGAAAGAGUAGCUAAUACCGCAUGAGAUCUACGGAUGAAAGCAGGGGACCUUCGGGCCUUGUGCUACUAGAGCGGCUGAUGGCAGAUUAGGUAGUUGGUGGGGUAAAGGCUUACCAAGCCUGCGAUCUGUAGCUGGUCUGAGAGGACGACCAGCCACACUGGGACUGAGACACGGCCCAGACUCCUACGGGAGGCAGCAGUGGGGAAUUUUGGACAAUGGGCGAAAGCCUGAUCCAGCAAUGCCGCGUGCAGGAUGAAGGCCCUCGGGUUGUAAACUGCUUUUGUACGGAACGAAAAGCCUGGGGCUAAUAUCCCCGGGUCAUGACGGUACCGUAAGAAUAAGCACCGGCUAACUACGUGCCAGCAGCCGCGGUAAUACGUAGGGUGCAAGCGUUAAUCGGAAUUACUGGGCGUAAAGCGUGCGCAGGGCGGUUUUGUAAGACAGUGGUGAAAUCCCCGGGCUCAACCUGGGAACUGCCAUUGUGACUGCAAGGCUAGAGUGCGGCAGAGGGGGAUGGAAUUCCGCGUGUAGCAGUGAAAUGCGUAAAUAUG